GAUGAACGCUGGCGGCGUGCCUAAUACAUGCAAGUCGAGCGAACAGACGAGGAGCUUGCUCCUCUGACGUUAGCGGCGGACGGGUGAGUAACACGUGGAUAACCUACCUAUAAGACUGGGAUAACUUCGGUAAACCGGAGCUAAUACCGGAUAAUAUAUUGAACCGCAUGGUUCAAUAUUGAAAGACGGUUUUGCUGUCACUUAUAGAUGGAUCCGCGCCGCAUUAGCUAGUUGGUAAGGUAACGGCUUACCAAGGCAACGAGGCGUAGCCGACCUGAGAGGGUGAGCGGCCACAAUGGAACUGAGACACGGUCCAGACUCCUACGGGAGGCAGCAGUAGGGAAUCUUCCGCAAAGGGCGAAAGCCUGACGGAGCAACGGCGCGUGAGUGAUGAAGGUCUUCGGAUCGUAAAACUCUGUUAGUAGGGAAGAACAAAUGUGUAAGUAACUAUGCACGUCUUGACGGUACCUAAUCAGAAAGCCACGGCUAACUACGAG
rnacentral:rRNA from 1 species